AAAAAAGUACUUACAAGCAAAAUAUAUCAUUGUUUAAGAUGGCAAAAUCAACUAAUUCUAUGGGCUACAUCAUUAUUGUCUUUUUUGUUCUUUUUUCUCCAUUAACUCUAGCAACACUAUCAUAUGCACCAGAAGCAACAUCACCGAUAAUGUCAUUAAAGCUGUCUACCGCAAGUCGUAGCACUCGUGUGUCUGUUUCAGGUAACUUAGUUUUAAGGAUUUUUUUACUUUUUUUCUUUUUUGAUUAUUAUUGUCCUCAUAUUAAUAGAAAAUAUAUUUUCAACUCAAAAUGUGCAUAUAUAACUAAAUGUAUACAUGAUGUAUUGAUGUUGAAUAUAUUUAACUAUUCAAAAUCACAUUCACAUUUCAGAAUGUUUAAAUUUGAUAUUUGGAUGUCAGAAUGUCCUGAUAGUUUUUUAAAAAACAAAUACGCUAAAUGAUUGAAAGUCUUCUAAGUAUAAUUAUUUUAUAAUCAAAAUUUUGGUUUCUAAAUACAUACUCUCUCGUUGAUUUGGAUCGGCUCAUCAUGUUUUCUUCUAUUAUAUGAGGAGUCUUUAUGAUAAAAAUUUUAAUUUUUUGAUAUAUUUGUUUGGACAAUUUCAGGUUGCUUUGGAUUAUGUAAAAAAUUCAAAUGUUGCAAUUGCCAGGCCGAGUUUCCCUAUUUAUGCAUCUCAUGUUGUUGAGAAUGAAAAUAAAAUAAAUCAUGUUUUUGUUACCAUGAUGUGGUUAACAACUAAUAUAUGAUGAGUGGCCAAUAAAAUUAUUAUAUGUAUUUGAAGCGUUC
rnacentral:lncRNA from 1 species